GCCUCAGUAGCUCAGUUGGAUAGAGCAACUGCCUUCUAAGCAGUGGGCCACAGGUUCAAGUCCUGUUUGAGGUGCCA
rnacentral:tRNA from 1 species